rnacentral:rRNA from 1 species
UAGGGAAUCUUCGGCAAUGGACGAAAGUCUGACCGAGCAACGCCGCGUGAGUGAAGAAGGUUUUCGGAUCGUAAAACUCUGUUGUUAGAGAAGAACAAGGACGUUAGUAACUGAACGUCACCUGAAGGUAUCUAACCAGAAAGCCACGGCUAACUACGUGCCAGCAGCCGCGGUAAUACGUAGGUGGCAAGCGGUGUCCUGAUUUAUUGGGCGUAAAGCGUGCGCAGGCGGUUUCUUUAGUCUGAUGUGAAAGCCCCCGGCUCAACCGGGGAGGGUCAUUGGAAACUGGGAGACUUGAGUGCAGAAGAGGAGAGUGGAAUUCCAUGUGUGGCGGUGAAAUGCGUAGAUAUAUGGAGGAACACCAGUGGCGAAGGCGGCUCUCUGGUCUGUAACUGACGCUGAGGCUCGAAAGCGUGGGGAGCAAACAGG